UCAGUGAUUAUAGUUAAGAUGUUGAUCUUCCGAAUGGCUGAUAAUCAUUACUGAAAGAGCAGACCAAUUUCCAUUGAGGACUUACAAACAAACAAGCAAAAUAUUCUCUCUCAAAGGGAACAUGAAAGGAGAGGGAGAGUUGGCUGCCAGCUGCGGUGUUUUCCUGGCAGCAUCACAGUCUGUUUCCAUAUACAGGUACCUAUCAUAACUGGCUGUCAUUUGCUACCUGGUGUUAUUCUUUUCCACUGCAUGCAGGCUCCUCUGCCUACUUCAAGGAAAGGCUACUCAGGCUUCAUCAGGGGAAAGCUACGAAGCGGAUAGGAGAGGAACAGCAACUGCAUGUGGGUCCAGAGAAUGUCUACAGGAAAGAAAUACAUCCCGUUUGCUUUUCCAGUCUGGCACCCAGUGAUGGAGCUCUGCUUGGGACAGAAACCAUGGGUUUGCUGAUGUAGUGAUGGUUUUUCACUGUUGAAGGGAGAACACUGGAGAAAACUGGAAGAGAUGCUCAGAAACAGCACAAGGAAAGUGUAGCCAGUUGUGUCCUUCUGUGAGACGAGGAGGGUUUGAGUCAUGGCUGAGUGGAGCACUCUGAAGUGAAGUCUCGGAGCUAUUCGCAAGCUUCAAAAUAAAUCAUCUCCGUUGAUGUGUGACAUCAUGCCUCCAAGGUACAGUGGUCCCUGGGGUGUUUGUUAAAUGAGAGUGGGAUGAAUUGCAUUUCAUCCUGACGUGGUGUUUGGAUGCAGGAAACAAGCUUUUAAAUUACUGCCCUAUCCCUGUGCAGCCUGUACUGCUGGUUCAGAACGAAGGGGACAUCCAGGUGUUUCACAUAUGUCUUUGUACUGCUGAAACAACGGCUCUGUAGGCAAAGGGGUUCUGAAUGCUUUCUCUCGCUGCCUGCUUUGAACAUUACUAGGGCAGUGUCUUGUGUUUUCAUUUUCCCACACGUCCCAAACAAACCUCAGCGAAUUUUACUUUGCUAACCAUGCCUGGCUGUGUAUUAGAAUCCUCCAUAACAAACAAGGCAACUGAAUUUAAAAGGCCAGG
ensembl:lncRNA